rnacentral:rRNA from 1 species
GUCUAUUUGAAGUUAUAAAAAGUUUAACCUGCCCACUGAUAAAUAAUAAAAAUUGAAUGGCCGCGGUAUUUUGACCGUGCAAAGGUAGCAUAAUCGUUAGUUUUUUAAUUGGAAUCUUGUAUGAAUGGUUGGACAAAAGAAAGUCUGUCUUUUUAUUAUUUGUUGAAUUUAACUUUUAAGUGAAAAGGCUUAAAUGAAUUAAAGGGACGAUAAGACCCUAGAAAGCUUAAUAUUAAAAUUUUGUUUAGUUAAAUUUUAUUACUAUAAAAACUUAGCAAUUAAAUUUAUUUUAUUGGGGCGAUAAAAGUAAAAUGAUUACUAACUGCUUAAUUUUAAAUACAUUAAUGAAUGAUUAAAUUUUUAAAUGAUCCUAAUUAAAGAUUAAAAGUUUAAGUUACUUUAGGGAUAACAGCGUUAUUUUUUUUGAGAGUACUUAUCGAAAAAAAAGUUUGCGACCUCGAUGUUGAAUUAAAAUAUCUUUGUAAUUGCAGCAGUUACAAAAGUAGGUCUGUUCGACCUUUAAAAUUUUACGUGAUUUGAGUUCAAACCGGC